CUAUUUUACAUUAGAAUGUUUAUAACAUCUGAAAUAUUCAGAUAAGACAUUUCGCCUUUCCUUGACUUUGGUAGUGUGUUUUCAACUGUCCCGUGGAUAAUAUUGCCACACACUGGAUUCGUGGGAAAACAGGUUUAGGAAAUGAGGAAACAUGAAACACAUCCAUCUAUUAAAUCACUGAAGUACUUCACAUUCAAGAGAAGUUUUAGUUCCAAGGAUUUCAAAAGCUUUGAUGGCCUAAACAGUUCAGAUGUGGCUUGUUUGGGUGAAGUUAAUGACAACUGGUUUACUGAUCUUACUGAGGAUAGAGUAAGAUCUGCCAACAAGACCCAGUCUUCAG